GUAGAAGCGGUUUUUCCCAGGAAACACUUCCCAUUUUCUCUUCGGCUGAGGAAGCUCUUUUAUUGGAAGUGGCAGAGUGGAAGCUGGUGUGGAUCCCGGGGUUCCCAGUGCUCUGGGGUCAAUUUGUUGACGAGGCGUCUGAUUGGCCAGAAGCCCCAAAUUAAGACCCGCCUUCUCCAUGUCUGACCAAUAAGGUGACGGCUGUCAGGCUCACAGUGGACCUGGGGUUGCAGACGGGAUGCUAGUCCAUCACUGUACACUAUGCACAUUCAAUCGUCAAACUUAGGGGAAAUGAAAUAUAGCCAAUUCACCACAUUGGCUGGUGGAUGGAAGAAACUGGAGAACCUUAAGAACAGACAUGUAUUUCUUUUGUGACAUAUCUGUAGAUAUGGUCUAUGCUGCAGUUUGUCACUGAGUAACAAGUGGCUUUACAAAUAUACCAGAUGGUGCCAUAAUCCUUCAAAUUCUCUUAUCAACAGAAUGUUACUAAUAAAAGUAACAUGAUAAUAAAAUAAAAAUAAAAUUAUUAUUACACAA